ACGAACGCUGGCGGCAGGCUUAACACAUGCAAGUCGAACGCCCCGCAAGGGGAGUGGCAGACGGGUGAGUAACGCGUGGGAAUCUACCCAAUUCUUCGGAACAACUGAGGGAAACUUCAGCUAAUACCGAAUGUGCCCUUCGGGGGAAAGAUUUAUCGGAAUUGGAUGAGCCCGCGUUGGAUUAGCUAGUUGGUGGGGUAAAGGCCUACCAAGGCGACGAUCCAUAGCUGGUCUGAGAGGAUGAUCAGCCACACUGGGACUGAGACACGGCCCAGACUCCUACGGGAGGCAGCAGUGGGGAAUAUUGGACAAUGGGCGCAAGCCUGAUCCAGCCAUGCCGCGUGAGUGAUGAAGGUCUUAGGAUUGUAAAGCUCUUUCACCGGUGAAGAUAAUGACGGUAACCGGAGAAGAAGCCCCGGCUAACUUCGU
rnacentral:rRNA from 1 species